rnacentral:misc_RNA from 1 species
AAAUAUAUUUAUAAUCAAAAUGAGAUAGUAUAAACAGUUUAUUCUACAUAUUUACGUUCAAAGUUAUGAAACGGAAGUGAAUCGCGAGUUUGUGAUACGGUCAGAGCCAUUUUCUUGAAAUUUGUCAUAUUUUACAGAUUCUUCCAAUUAUCCUAAUUGUCAUUAUAAUGGCUACCCGAUCAGAUCGAGAUAAAAACAAGUUGAUGCAAGAACGACAUCAAGUCAUUCUGUCCACAUUACUGAAAGAUGAAGACAAUAAAUACUGCGUAGAUUGUGAUGCUAAAGGUCCAAGAUGGGCAUCAUGGAACCUUGGUAUAUUCCUCUGUAUCAGAUGUGCAGGCAUUCACAGAAACUUAGGUGUUCAUAUAUCAAAGGUGAAGUCUGUCAAUCUUGAUACAUGGACCCCUGAACAGAUUGCUAGUGUUGAGGAUAUGGGCAAUAGUCGUGCCCGCGCAGUAUAUGAGGCAAACAUUCCCGAUGGCUUCAGAAGACCACAAACAGAUUCUGCUCUGGAAUCAUUUAUUCGAGCCAAAUAUGAGACCAAGAAAUAUAUAGCAAAAGAAUGGGUGCCACCGAAGCCCAGAACACAGCUGGUUGAAGAGAAGAAAGAAAAGAAACGGCCGAAGCCAAAGAGUUCAGUCCAAUUAAGUAAUGCUACUGUGAACAGACCAGAGACCAGUAAAGCCAGUCCCCCUAAAGCAGAAGUUAAGGCCCCUGCAGCCACUCCUCAGACACAAACUGCAUCCGCUGUAGAUCUGCUUGGCUUAGAUACACCCUCAGUAUCCAACAAUGUUGAUCCCUUUGGUGACUUUUUGGCUGCUAGCACCACUCCAAAUCCCAAUGUUAAUGCACAACAAGCUCCUGCCCAACAACAACAACAACCAGUUGCCUCUGCGGUACCUCAAUCACAACCUCUUCAAAAUGGAGGAGCCACAGAAGAGAACCUCUUCGGUGAAUCAAAGGAAAGUCAAGAAAAGUCUCAAUCAACCAAAGAUUCCAUUUUAGCGUUAUAUGGGAAUGCACAACAACCUCAACAACAGAUGUUUGGGGUACCAGCUGGUAUGGCCAAUGACAUGUAUGGGAUAGGAGGUGGAGUGUAUGUACCUCAACAGCAACAACAGCCUGGCAUCCAGCAGGGUAUGUACGGAAUGCCACAACAGCAACAACAGCAGUACGCCAUGCAGAAUGGUAUGAUGGCUAACCAAGGCAUGAUGCAGCAGCCUCAGGUCAGUCAAGGCAUGAUGCAGCAGCCCCAAGUCAGUCAAGGCAUGAUGCAGGGCCAGGGUAACAUGAUGAUGGCAAACAACAUGCAGGCCAUGCAGCAGUCGAACAUGAUGCAGAAUAACAUGGCUCAUCAAAAUAUGAUGGGGGUUGGUCAACAACAAAUGGGGCAACAAAAUAUGGGACUGCAAAAUAUGGGACAGCAGCAAAUGGGUGGAGGAAUGAUGCAAAAUAAUAUGUACAAUAUGCCCCAACAGAAUCAGCAACAGAAUUUCCAACAGGUCCAGAACCAGAUGGCAUCUAUGAAGCUAGGUGGGGGUGUAGGGGGAUACACACAACAACAGCCAGGCAUGGUUGGGGGCCCAACAGGGGCCAGUUGGGGAGGGGCUCCCCAGGGACAAACUCUAUCAACCAAUUUAUGGCAAUGAUGACAUUAAACAUAGGAUUCAUGUGAUAGUCAAAGGUGAUGGAAUUGAUGAAGAGGAAAUUAUCCCAGUAUUACAUGAUGCGAUAAUCAAUGGAAUAACUGAAUAUAAGAUGACAAUUUGAACCAAAUUUUAUUAUGAAGUAAUUAUAACAUAAUUGCAAAUAAAACAUUCAUGGAUAAGUAGUUCCUUUCCUCUGUUGUGAUAAAUUAAAAAAAUUUUAGAAUGUUUUCUGUAUGAAUCGGGGAUUAAUUCUAUUUGAAGCUCAAAUGUCAACAGUGUGAUAGAAGUCAAUGAUUUGAGAGAUAGAAGGAUGUAUUCCAUGUAAAUAAUAAGUCUUUAAAUGGAAAAGGUCUUUACAUCACUAUUUGUCACAUAAUAAGUAAUAUUUUGGAGUGGGUAAAAGUUGUUUUUUCGGAAAUAACAAUAACAGUUCAGUCUCUUGGGGGAGGUUUAAGGUGUCAAUCUAAAAGUAAUUACUUAUUACUCAUGUUUAAUGACAGUAUUGAAAUAUAGACCUAAUCCCUAAGGACAUAUUUAAACCUCGCACAAGCUUAUUUGUAAAUUAGUAGAGUAUAUUGAAUAUACAGCCGCUGGGUAGAGAUUGAGAAAAAACUUACUUUUAAAUUAUGUAUCCGUUUGUCUGUAUGGAUGUAUGUCACAUAGAUCAAGGCCUUAGUUAUCCCACUAAAGGAAGUUUGUAGGGAUAUAGAGAAGCCGUCCCUCCGUUUGGCUGUCUGUCCUUUUGUUCAUGUGUCCGGGUGAUCAAAUACCAGUUGAUGGAUUUGG